rnacentral:rRNA from 1 species
UGGGGAAUAUUGGACAAUGGGCGAAAGCCUGAUCCAGCCAUGCCGCGUGUGUGAAGAAGGUCUUCGGAUUGUAAAGCACUUUAAGUUGGGAGGAAGGGCAGUAAGCGAAUACCUUGCUGUUUUGACGUUACCGACAGAAUAAGCACCGGCUAACUCUGUGCCAGCAGCCGCGGUAAUACAGAGGGUGCAAGCGUUAAUCGGAAUUACUGGGCGUAAAGCGCGCGUAGGUGGUUCGUUAAGUUGGAUGUGAAAGCCCUGGGCUCAACCUGGGAACUGCAUCCAAAACUGGCGAGCUAGAGUAGGGCAGAGGGUGGUGGAAUUUCCUGUGUAGCGGUGAAAUGCGUAGAUAUAGGAAGGAACACCAGUGGCGAAGGCGACCACCUGGGCUCAUACUGACACGGAGGUGCGAAAGCGUGGGGAGCAAACAGG